UUCAGCAACUUCAUCAUCUUGUCGUCUUUCUCUUCUUUUCCUGGUGUGUUUCCCUCAGUGAUUUCUGCCAUUAUGCUUGUUGAACAGGCUGUGUGGCUUGAGAAAGUAAGAGGAAAAUUUCUCAGAUCUAGAUCUGAGUUUGUUGAGGUAGUUUACACAGGGCAGUAGUUUGCUCUGAUACCAUAUAAAGUUUAGCUAAGAUUGAGAUGAAAAAUGUAGAGUAUGUUAUUUAGAUCUGAUAAAA
rnacentral:lncRNA from 1 species